AGCGAACGCUGGCGGCAGGCCUAACACAUGCAAGUCGAACGGAUCCUUCGGGGUCAGUGGCGGACGGGUGAGUAACACGUGGGAACGUGCCCUUUGGUUCGGAACAACUCAGGGAAACUUGAGCUAAUACCGGAUGUGCCCUUCGGGGGAAAGAUUUAUCGCCAUUGGAGCGGCCCGCGUCUGAUUAGCUAGUUGGUGGGGUAAAGGCCCACCAAGGCGACGAUCAGUAGCUGGUCUGAGAGGAUGAUCAGCCACAUUGGGACUGAGACACGGCCCAAACUCCUACGGGAGGCAGCAGUGGGGAAUCUUGCGCAAUGGGCGAAAGCCUGACGCAGCCAUGCCGCGUGAAUGAUGAAGGUCUUAGGAUUGUAAAAUUCUUUCACCGGGGACGAUAAUGACGGUACCCGGAGAAGAAGCCCCGGCUAACUUCGUGCCAGCAGCCGCCGCAGUAA
rnacentral:rRNA from 1 species